rnacentral:rRNA from 1 species
GAUGAACGCUGGCGGCGUGCCUAAUACAUGCAAGUCGAGCGAACGGACGAGAAGCUUGCUUCUCUGAUGUUAGCGGCGGACGGGUGAGUAACACGUGGAUAACCUACCUAUAAGACUGGGAUAACUUCGGGAAACCGGAGCUAAUACCGGAUGAUAUUUUGAACCGCAUGGUUCAAAAGUGAAAGACGGUCUUGCUGUCACUUAUAGAUGGAUCCGCGCUGCAUUAGCUAGUUGGUAAGGUAACGGCUUACCAAGGCAACGAUGCAUAGCCGACCUGAGAGGGUGAUCGGCCACACUGGAACUGAGACACGGUACAGACUCCUACGGGAGGCAGCAGUAGGGAAUCUUCCGCAAUGGGCGAAAGCCUGACGGAGCAACGCCGCGUGAGUGAUGAAGGUCUUCGGAUCGUAAAACCCUGUUAUUAGGGAAGAACAUACGUGUAAGUAACUGUGCACAUCUUGACGGUACCUAAUCAGAAAGCCACGGCUAACUACGUG